UUACAGGCAAACUGUGUAAUUAGUUUUUGUUUUUUACUAUAUUUAAUGCUUCAUGCAUAUGCCGCAAGAUUCGAUGUGACGAGAAAUCUUGAAAAGUUUUUGGUUUUUGAGGUGAACUAAACAAGAGCUGAACUAUUAUAAACACCAUCUCCCAUAUGCUAUACUAUCUAGAUCUGCUAUGUGCCCCACAUCCCUAUAAUCAUUGUCCAGUGACUAAAGCACCAACAACUUUUUUACAAAUAGAU
rnacentral:lncRNA from 1 species